GACAGAGGAUGCAAGCGUUAUCCGGAAUGAUUGGGCGUAAAGCGUCUGUAGGUGGCUUUUUAAGUCCGCCGUCAAAUCCCAGGGCUCAACCCUGGACAGGCGGUGGAAACUACCAAGCUGGAGUACGGUAGGGGCAGAGGGAAUUUCCGGUGGAGCAGUGAAAUGCGUAGAGAUGUGGAGGAACACCGAUGGCGAAGGCAGCCCCCUGGGUCAAGACUGACGCUCAUGCACGAAAGCGUGGGGAGCAAACAGGAUUA
rnacentral:rRNA from 1 species